rnacentral:rRNA from 1 species
UACGGGGGGUGCGAGCGUUGUCCGGAAUCACUGGGCGUAAAGGGCGCGUAGGCGGCGGAUCAAGUCAGGCGUGAAAGCCCCGGGCUUAACCUGGGAGGUGCGUCUGGGACUGAUUUGCUAGAGUUCGGGAGAGGAGCGUGGAAUUCCCAGUGUAGAGGUGAAAUUCGUAGAUAUUGGGAAGAACACCGGUGGCGAAGGCGGCGCUCUGGACCGAGACUGACGCUGAGGCGCGAAAGCGUGGGGAGCAAACAGG